ensembl:lncRNA
GGCUCUUUGUUUUUCUGUUACAUUAAGGCUUUCCUAGGAACUUCUCUGCAUUCAACUCACUGUGCCUCUACUUCCUUCUUCAGAAGCAUCUUAAAUAUUAUUUAGCAUAUACUUAUUAUAACAUAUACUUAAAUAUCAUUUAGCACAUUAUUUAGAAUAUACUGCCUUUGUCCAACACUCCUUUCCCUGAGACUCAAUUCAUUCUAGUAGGCUUGUUUUGUCUGUCAUUAAAAUACUGACUUCCUCCAGCUGCUACUACCUCUUUCUUGGUCCUUUAAUUGUUCUCCUCAACCAUGAGUCAGCAGCUGGACUUGAUGGUCAGAACUCUCAUGGAGAAAAGAAAUUUUCUCUGGGUUCCAGCCUUAUGUGAUGUGUGCAUUCUUGGCUCAGAGGGGCUCAGUGUUGGGCUGCACUCAAGGUGAGAGCAAGGUUUUCAUUAGGAGAAAAGUACUACCUCAGGCUCCCACCUGUGAAGCACAGUGGAGGGGCAGAAGCCUCAUAAGAAGAUCUGACCAGUCGAUCCUAAAGGAAAUCAGUCCUGAAUAUUCACUGGAAGAACUGAUGCCGAAGCUGAAACUCCUAUACUUUGGCCACCUGAUCCCAAGAACUGACUCAAUGGAAAAGACCCUGAUGCUGGGAAAGACUGAAGGCUGGAGGAGAAGGGGAUGACAGAGGAUGAGAUGGUUGGAUGGCAUCACCGACUCAAUGGACAUGGGUUUGGGUGGACUCCGGGAGCUGGUGACGGACAGGGAAGCCUGGUAUGCUGCAGUCCAUGCGGUCGCAAAGGGUCAGACACUACUGAGCAACUGAACUGAACUGAACUGAAUAUAUCCAAUUCCAAAUAUAGAUACAGUUUAAAGAAUGACAAGGAAAUAAACACAGUCACUACCUAGUUUGAAAUAGAAGAUUAGUCAUUUGAAGCACUAUGAGUCGUCUUUUUUUUUUUUUUUUUUUCAGGUGCAUCCCUUCCCUACCAUAUGGAAAAUUUAAAAUAUGCAGAACAAUACUAUAUGUUUUUAUGUAAAAGUAUAAAAACAUACGUAUAAUGAUAAAUACCAACUGAAGAUAGCAGUUAUCUCCGGAAGGAAAGAGAAUGGAAUUAGAUAGGGAUAUGAGGGUUUCUAACCGAUCUGUAAUGUUUCAUUAAAAAAAAAUGAUGUCAAGCAAAUGGGGCAAAAUGUAAAGAUCUGGCUGUGUUUGCUACAUUAUUCUCAGAGAGCAUAAAGCCAAAAUAGCACAAGGGGUUGAGUACACAAGUUCUGGAACCAAAUAGGUUUAGAUUUAUUUGUGCCUGCUUAAGUUACUAUCUGUAGAAGUUGUACAAAUGACUUAGCCUCCUUGCAACUCAGUUUUUCUUAUCAAUAAAAUGGAGAUUAUAAUAAUACUUAUAUUUACUUUAUAGUAUUGUUGUGAGCAUGACAUUAGUUUACGGAAAACACUGAAAGUGUUUGGCACAUAUGAGCAGGCAAUAAAUGUUAAUUAGCAGCAGUAGGAAGUUUUACAAGUUUUAUAAACUUCUCUUAAGAAACUGCAAACACACACACACACACACACACACACACACACACACACAGACCCAAAUUCCUAAGCUACAGAAUCACAGUCAUUUAUUUGAAACUCUUGGGGCAGACAUUUUAUAUUUCAGAACUUUUUGUUAUUUAUUAUGUCACAUCCCUAGUGGGGUCUGGGACAACAUGUCCUAAUCAAACACAUUAUUAUUUCUGCAAUAAAAAUUAUGAAUAUUCAUUAAGUAAGAUACAUAAAGACUGAAAAGCUUCAUGUUAGUUCAGGUCAGGUUUUACCACCAAAGGAUUUUGCUGCCAGCUUUUCAAAAACUUUCAGUUUUCAGAGUGUUUUGGAAUCUAGACCUGCAUUUAAAAGGAUCAUGGACCUUUACUGUACUUCAUCCACCUUAUGAGUACGUUCUUAAAAAGAAUGAGGCAGCUGGACAUAUUGAAAUGAUGAGGUAAGGCAUAUGUUAAGUAAUAAUACCAUAUGUGUUAGAGUAUUUGGCAAUUGGCCAAAUAAUAUAUAUAAUAUAAUUCCUGUUACAUUUAUAGAAAGAGACUUCCACUUUUUUUUUUUUUUUUACGUAUAUAGGAUAAAUGCAUUGAAAGGAGACAAAGUCAGGUCAGCUGCUUGCCUCUGAAAAGCCAAUAUUUGAGAGGCAAGAUUGUUUGAAAGAAAAGUUUGCUUUAUUUUAGAGGCCAGCAACCAGGGGAGAGGGUGAACUCAUGUCCAAAAGCUGAUUCCCCACUGACAAUCAGUGGGCCAGAGCUUUUAAAGGGGAGUUUCAGGGGUGCAGAGGUGGAGGGAGCAGGCUGCAGAGGCAGCAGAAUAGCACAGUCAGUUCUGACAAUCACCUUGAAAUUAGUCCUGUGGUGGUCUGAUCAGCAUUAUCUUGAUUAUUUUAAGUAUAGCUAAUCUUUAGUUCCAAGGUCAGUUUGUUCCCAUUUCUUUGAGAUCAGUUCUCAGAGUUGUGCAAGAUGGAACAACUUAUGUCAUGGCUACAGUCUGGUCAUCAUGUGUUAGGUUGGCCAAAAUGUUCAUUUGGAUUUUCCCAUAACACCUUAUGAGGAAACCCAAACAAACUUUUUGGCCUGCUUAAUUUCCACCUGGUGGCAGUUUUGGUAUCUACAAAGCAGCUCAAAGGAUAUGGGUUAGAAUAUCAUCUAUAGCCGUUGAGAAGGAAUAAAAGGUCCUUGAC